AAGGUAGCCAAAUGCCUUGCCGGGUAAGUUCCGGCGCGCAUGAACGGGUCAACGAGGUCCCCACUGUCCUGGCCCGGGGCCCCGUGAACCCCCUGAGCCGGUGCACAGUCCGGCAUCCCCCCGCAGGGAGAGAAGACCCCGUGGAGCUUUACCGCAGCCCGGCGUUGGCCCUCGGGUGGGGGUGCGUAGCGUAGGUGGGAGCCUGUGAGCCGCCCUCUCCGGGGGGCGGUGAGGCGUCCAUGAAACACCACCCACCCCCGCCCGGGGGCCUAACCCCGCCCCGGGUGGGCGGGGGACAGCGUCGGGUGGGCGGUUUGGCUGGGGCGGCACGCCCGCGAAAGGGUAACACGGGCGCCCAAAGGUCGGCUCAGGCGGGUCAGAACUCCGCCGUAGAGUGCAAGGGCAAAAGCCGGCCUGACCGGACCCCUGAAAGCACGGGGUCCGGCCGGGAAACCGUGGCCUAGCGCACGCUCGAGCCCCCUCGGUGGGGGCCGGGCACGACAGAAAAGUUACCCCGGGGAUAACAGAGUCGUCGCGGGCGAGAGCCCCCAUCGACCCCGCGGUUUGCUACCUCGAUGUCGGCUCUUCCCAUCCUGGGGGUGCAGCAAGAAGUCGUGGGCGGAUAUACACGAUAUUACGAUAUCAGGAUUAUAGUGUUAGAAAAAGGAUGAGGUAAUACCAACAUUCAUUAUAGUAGAGAGCGCGGUGGGAAUGUGCAAUUUAGGAUUAGGAUAUUGUGGCCGCUGACAAGAAAGGUGUUUGAAGAAUAUUUAGCAGGAUUAACAGCAGGUGAUGGCCAAAUAGAGGAGAAACGUAUAACAAUAACGGAUUCAAAUCCUGUCUUUCUCCAAAAUGUAGCAAGACUAAUACAACGUUACCUUAAUAUUGAACCGCGAAUGCAUAAGAGGCGAAACGUUAAUGCAUACUAUCUGCGAAUUUAUAGUAAGAAUUUGGUCGCGAUAAUAGAAAGUUUAAUAAAUAAACUUUAUGACGAACCCUCAGUUAACUUUAUUCGUGGCUACUUUGAUGCUGAAGGGAGUAUAUGGAUAGAUCAAAAUAGAUAUAUUGUAAUUGAAAUUGCAUCAGCAAAUCAAGCAAUAAUUAACAAUAUUAAAAAAAGCCUACAUAACAGUUGCAUUUACGGCUACAUGAGAACUAAAAGUUAUUAUGAUAAACGGCGUAAAAAGACUUAUACAAUUCAUAGAUUGGUAAUAAAACAAAGAAAUAGUGUGGGGCAUUUUCUUAAAAAUGUAGGUAUUAGGCAUCCAAAGCAUAUAAUGAAGCUUAUAUCUCAUGGUUUAGUUUAGAGUGUCCGCCCACGGCUUCCUGUAAGCCCCCAAGGGUGGGGCUGCCCGCCCAUUAAAGGGGAACGUGAGCUGGGUUCAGACCGUCGUGAGACAGGUCGGUCUCUACCCGCGGGGGGUGUGGGCCGCCUGAGGGGAAGGUGCCCCUAGUACGAGAGGAACGGGGCGCCGCGGCCUCUAGUGUACCGGUUGUCCGGCAGGGCAGAGCCGGGCAGCCACGCCGCAGUGGGGUAACCGCUGAAAGCAUCUAAGCGGGAACCCCUCCCCGAAAAGAGGCGGCCAUCCGCUUCUCCCGGCCUUGUGCCGGGAGGGCGGCGAGGGCUCCCGUAGAAGACGGGGUUGAUGGGGCGGGGGUGUAAGCCCCGAGGGUGCUUGGCGCCCGAGGGGUUCAGCCCGCCGCUCCCAAUCGCCCGAGGCUGCAGGGUG
rnacentral:rRNA from 1 species